rnacentral:rRNA from 1 species
GACGAACGCUGGCGGCGUGCUUAACACAUGCAAGUCGAACGGAAAGGCCUGCUUUCCCUUGUGGUUUGCGGGUACUCGAGUGGCGAACGGGUGAGUAACACGUGAGUGAUCUGCCCCCAACUUGGGUAUAAGCCUGGGAAACUGGGUCUAAUUCCCGAUAGGACUGCAGGGUGGUGCCUGUGGUGGAAAACGAUUUUCUAGUGGUUGGGGAUGAGCUGGCGGCCUAUCAGCUUGGUGGUGGGGUAAUGGCCUACCAAGGCGGCGACGGGUAGCCGGCGUGAGAGGGUGGACGGCGACAUUGAGACUGGGAUACGGCCCAGACUGGUACGGGAGGUAGCAGUGGGGAGUAUUGGAGCAAGGGCGGAAGCCUGAUGCAGCGACGCCGCGUGGGGGAUGACGGGCUUCGGGUUGUAAACUCCUUGCGACCGCGGGGAAGCCACCUGGUUGGAAGGGUGGUGACGGUAGUGGUAGAAGAAGCACCGGCUAACUACGUG